GGAGAGGCCGCAGGGGGAGAGGUCACAUGGGGGAGAGGCUACACAGGGGAGAGGCCGCAUGUUGGGGAGAUGGCCCCUGCGGGAAGACUCCGAGGCAGUCUGCUGCAGCUCCUUCCGGCUGAAUCCGGUUCAGGAAGUAAAACCAGCCCUGUGUAGAGUCCCCAGAAUGUCACCUCCGAGCAGAGCCUGUGACAACUGUCAACUGUGAAGCUGUGGCGUGGGUUGCUACUGAAGCUCUGAAGUCAGCGAGGACACAGCAUGUUUGUUCUAGACCGUUUGGCUGCUGGAGGAAGCUGUACAUGCACACACUCGCCUCACCACCCUGCGAGUCCACAGGCCCCUCCCCGGAGUCACCUCCAGGUAAUGGGGGCCCUGCGUCGGGACUUGCUCUCUGGGGCGCUGAGAUGCUCUACAAUGAGCCGUGCUGCAGUGCACGGCCGCCCGACUGUGCACCCGCAACGGGGAACUGAACGCUGCAGGAAGUACAUCUCCAAGAUGUUCUUUAAGAGGCUUAGGGUCCCUGGAAGACCCUCGCCCACACCCAGCGUGGAGCGUUGUUGCUCACGUGGCCGCACCUCUCGGGAUGGCCGUGGGUCUCCGUGAUGGGCAGGCGAAUGGAACCACAGGUGCUUCCUGUCCUGGUCACAAAGUCAGAGUGGCUGGGCCAAGUGUCCUGAGAAGAGUCACCUCCUGGGAUCCCAUCAGCCUGGCCAUAGCAGAACACCCAGACAGGGGCCCAUCCCCGAGGCUCAACUCAAUGCAUGCAGCCACUGUAGAAAAGUCUGGAAAGUAGUUCUUCAACCGACUAGACAUGGUGAGCCCAAAACCCAGCCAUGACACUCCUAGGCAUCUGCCCCAGAAGAAUGAAAGCAUCCAUCCCCUGCAAACUCAUCCUUACACAGCAGCGUGACUCCAGAUGGCCAAAGGCAGAAACACCCCAAACGUCCAUCAGUGGACAAACGGGCAGACGCAAUGCACUGUCUGUACCGUGGGAUGUCACUCAGCCAUAAGAAGGAAAGAAUCCAGUGUGGAUGAGCCUUGGAACCACGGUGCUGCGUGAUCCCGUAACACAUGGCCAGAACAGACACGGCCCGGAACCUGAGGCCGGGAGGAUGCGUGCGGGUGGCGGGGAGACAGAGGGGCGAUGGCUAAGGAAUACCCAGUUUCUUUUGGACUGAAAAUGGUCUAAAGUUGACUGUGGUGAUGGCUGUACAACUCUGAAUAUGCUGAAAACUCGAAUUACACACUUCAGUUGGGCGAACUGUACUCCAUGUGAAUUACCUCUCGAUGGUUCUCUCCUGGGCUCAGGCGCUUCUCCCACCUUGGCCUCCUGAGUAGCUGGAACUACCACUCAUGUGCGGAAAUAAAACAACUCAGUCUCAAAAAAAACUCAACUCAAAACUCAGUCUCAAAAAUAAAAAAAUAAAAAAUAAAGUAAAAGAGGCUACCAA